CCUCCCUCUCUUCCUCCUCGAUUUCUCUGAUUGAAGCCGCGACCCCUCGACUCGUGCUCACCAUGAUUUCUUACCGACAUGGUCAUCGGAGCUCGAGGUAGUCCCUCCUUCCUCUUCCUCUCUCCUCUCCCUUCUUUUCUGUGCCUGUGGGCAUGACUGCUGGCGACAGGUGUCGUCAGAUUUCGUUGGAGAAGAAAGUCCCUGUUCGGCCUCUUCUUUUUC
rnacentral:lncRNA from 1 species